ACUCCUACGGGAGGCAGCAGUAGGGAAGUCUUCCACAAUGGGCGCAAGCCUGAUGGAGCAACACCGCGUGAGUGAAGAAGGGUUUCGGCUCGUAAAAGCUCUGUUGUUAAAGAAGAACACGUAUGAGAGUAACUGUUCAUACGUUGACGGUAUUUAACCAGAAAGUCACGGCUAACUACGUGCCAGCAGCCGCGGUAAUACGUAGGUGGCAAGCGUUAUCCGGAUUUAUUGGGCGUAAAGAGAGUGCAGGCGGUUUUCUAAGUCUGAUGUGAAAGCCUUCGGCUUAACCGGAGAAGUGCAUCGGAAACUGGAUAACUUGAGUGCAGAAGAGGGUAGUGGAACUCCAUGUGUAGCGGUGGAAUGCGUAGAUAUAUGGAAGAACACCAGUGGCGAAGGCGGCUGUCUGGUCUGUAACUG
rnacentral:rRNA from 1 species